UCUAUUUGGCCAGUGAAACUCUGCCUAGCAGGUGAUGGUCUUUCCUGUUCUAUCUUUUUGGCUUUAGCUCCAACCCCUUUUUAUUUAUUUUUCUGGUAUUUCACGCAUGCCACACGAAUUCAUCUAAACAAAUGGUGAACAAGUGCCAUAUCGUAUCAAUGUCUUACAUGGCUGAAGGGCAAACCACCCUUUUUUCCAAAGUCCGUUUUCCAUUUACCCACCAAUUCAGCAUGCUGCAGUACAUUUCUUUUCACAUUCCCACCUUGGUCUUAUCCCACACAUGGAGAUGGAAAUGCUUUCUCGUUUUCUGUUCCAAGAAUUACUAGUAACGAGAACACACCCUACCCCAUCAGCAAGCCCCAAUGUGAUCGGUUUCUUUCGGCCUCCUUUGUCUCUUUUCCCCCCCACCCCUCAGGGAUUGCGUGAAACAAACAACUGUUCAGUGAAACUAACCUGAAAUUACAGGUCUACUUUCUUUCCCGGCUGGCACUGAGAUGGGCAGGUGAUGGAGCAGCCCCGCUUGAAGCGAUGCAGCAUCCAGGAAGAUGGAGGAAGGGGCGGAGAGGGACCUCUGCUUUCCAGGCUGCCUUUUAUACUGCCUCUGGUCACCUGAUGUGGAACGUACCCUAACCUAUCAGUUACAUGGACGUUAAUUACAAUUAACUUAAUCCAAUUACAUGACCUGGAAAGGUCUAUCUGCACAGCCCACUCUAAGAUCAUGUCCACUGCUGACAGACAUUCUAUAACAUAUGGGUACAGCUGCAAGCUUUGAAGAAUAGAUGUUCCCCGUCAGACAUGUAACACUGGUGCCUGUACCCCUGUCUUCUUUUCCAUCUUUUUUUUUUGUUUUGUUUUGUUUUAAAAAAUGUGGUAAAAUAGACACCUUUUAAUUGGACCAUAUUUACUCUAUCUCGACGUAGGCCUCAGUGUCAUCAAGGAGAUUCUCCUUG
rnacentral:lncRNA from 1 species